rnacentral:lncRNA from 1 species
ACCACGUGUAAUCUAUUAAUUACUACUCUAAUGUUUCAAAGAUUAGAGCACUUGAUGCAAGCGGGAAUCCAAUAAAUAACUUGAAUGUAAAUAAAGGUAAUUAGAGAACUCAGGAGUUAUGAGUUGAAGAACCUGGAGAACGAUGAAGAACGAACCAGUUGCUGCAAAAGUACAAUGUUGAGGAAGAUCCGACAGAUCCGGCUCCUCCUCCGCUCUCCUCUUCUCUCUCCUUAUUUUCUAGAUUACAACUAGAACUAACUAGAACUAGAACUAGAGGAACUAGAACUAGAACUAGAUGAACUAGAACUAGAUCUAGAUGAACUAGAGGUAGAACUAGAAGAACUAGAGGGAUCCUCUCUACUUGGAUGAAGAAUUGAAACCCUAGCUUUGAUUCUGUAGAAGAGGUAUGAUCUCCAGGGGCCAGGGGGUCUGGUUUUAUAGUCCCUUCAAGUGAAUCUGGGCCAUCGGAUCAAACCGACAUUAAUCGCACGGUUUUCCUUGAUCCUUUAGGUCGGUGGAGCAUAAUCCGCGAAACGUGUCCUGAUUGGGCACUGUAGCUGGGCGGGCACCCAGGAGAGUUGGGCGGGCGCCCUACCUCCGAGCCCGAUUUCCUUCCCGUUCGUUCCCAUGGCUUCUGGAGUCUUCUAGAUGGUAGAAAAUUGCGCGGCACGUUAAUAUCUCUAUGUAAACCCGACGUUUGGGCCUUUCUUCCAUAUUUUCUGAUAACCCCCUGCAGAAAUAGACAAACACCAAAACUCGUGGAAUUCUGUCAGAUAAAACCCUAAGUCAAGGUGUUAGUUGCAUUUGGAUCCUUUUCCAUGAUUAGUUUAUGGUUAAAUGUGAGCAUUAAGGACCGUCAACAGUAAAAUGCUUGGACAAGCAACAUUAAUCCAAGAAAAUUUCUAUUGAAAAUCUUUGUAAAAAGGGUUGUCAUCAAUUACCAAACAGGGGGAGAUUGAAAGCCCUAGUUUGGUUUUGGAUAAUUGAUGAAACCCUAGUAAUAACCUCUAUGCUAAGUGUGUGCAGACAUAAUGAGGUUGGUACAUGCCAAGUGAUGAAGCAAGUGAUGAUCACGGUGAUGAUGGUGAUGACCACAAGGUGAUCAAGUGCUCAACUUGGAAAAGAAUAAAGAGAAAAACAAAACCAAACCCUUUGGAGAUCAAGGCAAAGGUAUUGCUUAGGGUUUUGGUUUUGGUGAUCAAGACACCAUAGAGGGUGUGAUCACAUUUAGGAAUAGAUAGCCGUACUAAUAAGAGGGGUAAUCUCGUUGUGAAAACGGUUGUCUAAGUGCCACUAGGUGAUUGGAUUCCGUGCAUAUGCAUUAGGACCUAGUGAACUAACUAAGUAACCCUUGAAAAAUGUUUUGAAAUAUGCUAACACACAUGCACAAGUGUGGAGACACUUUGGUGUUGGCACAUGGAAGCAAGGGAAGAAGUUGAGGAUCUUUUCGUGCAGCGCGUUCAGGCCGGACGCGUCCGGUAUGAGGUCAGACGCGUCCGAGUUGAGGCACCGGACUCAGGAACAGUAACCACCUAGAGUCUGGUGUGUUUUGUCUGGUGAGAUCGCUUCUCGGUGAAAACUCUCUGAGUUUGCAUCAGGUGCACACCGGACGCAUCCGGUGUGACACGGGAUGCGUCCGAGUUAGCAUCCGGUGCAAGUUCUUCGUGCGAAGCUCCCUGAGUUUGGGUCUUGUGCACAACGGACGCAUCCAGUGUGACACCGAACGCGUUCGGUUUUUCAAAAGUGAGUGUCCGGUGCCUUGUCAGUGUCAGAGGCAACGACUACUUUUCUAAUGGUCAAGAGCACCGGACGCUGGUCUGGAUCAUACCGGACGCGUCCGGUGUGAACUAGGACGCGUCCGGUGUGGACGCAGACUGUGGGGUAAACUACCAUCGGCUAGUUGAAGCUUGGGACUUCUAUUUAUAUGCCUUGGCUGGUUCUUGCUCACUCUCUUGACUCUCUAACUUGUUGAUACACCUUGUGAGCAUACUCCCACACUUCCCACUCACCUUGUUCAAGAUUUGUUCAUACAAAGUGAGAUUGGGAGAGAUCCUAGUUGCAUUUGCUUAGAGUUUGAGCAUCUAGUGGCACUAGUGAUCGUUGAGCAGUGGGUUUGCUUGUUACUCUUGGUGGUUGCCGCCACCUAGACGGCUUGGAGCUGCGGACGAGCUUUGGCACGAGUUGGUGAUUGUUCGUGGCCAUCUCUCGGUGAUUGUGAGAGGUUUGUGCCUACCUCGGCAGAGAGCCAAAGGCAACAUUAGUGGAUUGCUCGUGUCAUUGAGCUACCUCACUUGUGGGUAGGUUCUUGUGGUGUCCUAGUGAGGACGAGGUUCGUGCUACACCUCUUAGCCACCGAACCACCAAGUGUUGGUCGACACAUCGGGGACGUAGCGUGCCGGCAAGCAUGUGAACCUCGGGAGAAAAUUGUGUGUCUCCAUUGUAAUUGUUCAUUGGAUUUCUCCCAGUGAUUGGACUUCAUAUUAUUGAUUGGUUCAUCCCCUCUACGCGGUGGUAUAAAGAUCAAACCAUCUCUUUUUACAUUCCCGCAAACUAGAGUAGCUUACUUACUUGUAUAGAAACUUUAGGUAGCUCUCUAGUGUAAGUAGUGACACAGCUCUUGUGUGCCUAGAGAUUAUAUCAACUAGAAUUAUUGGAUAGGUGGCUUGCAAACACCCCUUUAGAGCUAGAGCAAAAAGCUUCGCUUUGUUAUUUACUAACCUCUUGCUCUAGUGAGUUUGUAGAAUUUUUAAAUAGGCUAUUCACCCCCCUCUAGCUAUAUUAGGACCUUUUAGGUGGUCAAUGUAGCACUUCACCAGGAGUAUUCCAGGUAUCGUAUUUUCCACGAGGAACGGGAAGUGGACUAACUAGACCAAUUGAGUCGUCGGAUGAUGAUCAAAGGGCUUAGGAUUGGGUGCAGAGGUAUUUGUGGUAUUUGGCUUCUAGCUAAGCUAUCCUAAGUAUACUGAGAGUUAACUCCCUUCCUACUGCAGCCGAUAGGUGAAAAGGGUGUGGUGAAACACUUCCCUGGGCAGCUAAUAUGCAGGCCAACUAUUAUUUGCAUCUUGCCUAACAACACACUGAAGAGAACUCCUAAUGUCCAGUAGAGGCCUGUCACGCUUCGCUGCUGGCGUUCUUCAAGUGUGACAAGAAGUCAACAAGGGCAGACUUAGUCUAGACACAACGUCUACACUAGUUCUACUACUCUAGACCCAGCUAAGGUUUCGAGCACUUCACACAAGGCAAAGCAAUGUACCAGUAGGCCGGUUGUAUACUUAAAAUAAACUAAGACAAAAAGUAAAUACUGGAAGUACUCAGAUGAAAGGCAACUAGAAGGAAGACUUACUUGAAGACAAGCAUCCACUGAGGCGCUUCUGGAAGAAGACUCCCAACAAGCUGGGACUCCUCCUCAGGGAACUCCUCACUCUCUUCCCUCUAUUCUCAUACUAGCUAAGAGUAGCUCUUCUUAAGAUACAUCAUUGUUAACUAGGUUCUCUAAGGGGGUAUUUAUAGGGGGGAGAUGGAGUAGGGGCUAUUCCAGUGCCACAUUAGCGAUCCGUGUGCUCCCUCUUCUCCACUGCUGGAUCAAACCGACUUUGGAACCACCAUAUGAUCAACGGUUGGGACUUCCAUCACAUGUUCAUCAUGGGGAAUGUCGAUGGGAGUGAACUGACUCAAGAUGGGGCCCACAUGUCGGUCGGUCGACCUACCUAAUGACAAGUGGGAUUAGUGUUGUCUUCUAGAAGGAGUCCCAUGUCGGUUGGUGCAAACUAGGUGGCUGGAUGGCCCCAUAGUGGUGUCAGUCGACCCCACUUUGGUAGAACCAAAGGUUCAUCUUCUGCAUGUGACUUCCUGUUGAAAUUCUGAGCACAGUGGUGGUGCUAGGCCCACAAAGGUGGGGUCGGCCGACCCCACUAAUGUGCCCAUCCUUUGCACAUUGUCUCCAUAAGCUCUGAGAUUGAUGAAUGUGAAGUUGGUUUUCUAAUUGGCCAUUCAGGGGUGGUAGUCCAACCUUCAUAUAGAGCUUCUUAACCCUAAAGAGUAGUCGAUGGCACACCUGCAUCCAAAUGAUGACAUAUACAUGUGGAACCAAGUUAUUUGUACCUAAGUCACUAUGUGUUUGGUGAUUUUUUCCAGAAAGAAUGUAUUGUUGAUGGUUUUGAUGGAGUAAAAAUAGGGCUUAUCUACCAUCAAUAGCCAUUCAGAUUAUGUAAUGCUAUAGCUUCUUUUCAACGGUGCAUGAUGUCUAUUUUCUCUAACAUGAUCGAGAAAAUCAUGGAGGUGUUCAUGGAUGACUUGACCUUCUAUGGCACAACCUUUGAUGACUGUUUGGAGAAUCUAGACAAAGUCUUACAAAGAUGCGAAGAAAAGUACUUAGCCCUGAACGGGGGAAAAUGCCAUUUCAUGGUACGGGAAGGAAUAGUGCUAGGACACAAGGUAUCCGAAUGUGGGAUAGAAGUGGAUAGAGCAAAAAUAGAAGUUAUUGAACAACUUCCACCUCCCACAAAUGUGAAAGGAAUCUGAAGCUUUCUAGGCCAUGCGGGGUUCUAUAGGCAUUUUAUCAAAAACUUCUCUCAAAUCACUAGACCCCUCACUAGACUAUUGGCUAAGGAUGGACCUUUCAUCUUUGACAAUGAGUGCUAUGAAUCUUUCCAAACACUCAAACAAGCACUCAUUUCAUCUCCAAUCAUCCAACCACCUGAUUGGAUGCUGCCUUUUGAAACCAUGUGUGAUGCUAGCGACUUUGCUAUUGGUGCCGUUCUUGGCCAAACAAAGGAUAAAAAGCACUAUGCUAUAUCCUAUGCUAGCAAAACCUUAACUGGACCAAAGCUCAAUUAUGCUACCACUAAAAAGAGCUAUUGGUAGUUGUCUUUGCAAUAGAUAAGUUUAGAUCUUACUUACUUGGAGCACAGGUAACCAUUUAUUUAGACCAUGCUGCUCUUAAAUACCUCCUCACUAAGAAAGAUGCUAAACCUCGGUUGAUCCACUACAUUCUUUUACUCCAAGAAUUUGAUAUUGAAAUAAAGAUAAGAAAAGAGUAGAGAAUUUAGUAGCCAAUCACUUGUCUAGGCUCCAGUACAAGGAAACACAUGAGUUACCCAUUAAUGACUAUCUAAGGGAUGACACACUCGUCGCGGUAACACUCUCCAACCCAUGGUACACGGAUAUUGAGAAUUACAUGGUUGCAGGAUAUGUUCCACCAUGAGGAGAUAAGAGGAAGCUCAAAUAGGAAGCUCAAUGCCACUUAUGGGAUGACCCAUAUCUCUAUCAGUUUUUUUCUGAUGGAUUAUUAUGGAGAUGUGUCCCAAUGGUUGAAGCAAUUAAAAUCAUAGAGAGGUGUCAUGCAUCGCCAUAUGGAGGAUAUUAUGGAGCACUCCGUACGCAUGCAAAGAUCUAGCAAAGUGGAUUCUUCUAGCCUACGAUGUGUCAAGAUACAAAGGAGUUUGUUAAAAGAUGUGCUAGAUGUCAAAAACAUGGAAACAUUAAUGCUCGGGAUGCAAUGUCACUUCAGAACAACCUCCAAGUAGAGUUGUUUGAUGUUUGGGGAAUCGACUACAUGGGACCAUUCCAAAGAUCUGGAGAUGCUGAAUUUAUCUUGGUGGCAGUAGACUACGUGUCCAAGUCGGUAGAAGCAUUACCAUGUCGAGCUGUCGACUCCAAGCAUGCUAAGAAGAUGUUCCAUGAAGUAAUAUUUCCAAGAUUCAACAUACCAAGAAUGGUCAUACGUGUUGGAGGAUCACACUUCAUUGAUAAGAGCUUCAAAUAAUUCCUGACAGAAUAUGGAGUCAAGCAUAAUGUUGCAACUCCAUACCAUCCUCAAACCAACGGUCAAGCAGAAACAUCAAAUAAGCAAAUCGAAAACAUUAUGCAGAAGACUAUGGAUGAGAUGGGAAAGAAAUGGAAGUACAAGCUCUAUGAUGCACUAUGGGCAUACCAGACUGCAUACAAAACACCCAUAGGCAUGUCACCUUAUUAGCUUGUAUAUGGAAAAACAUGCCACUUGCCUAUUGAAUUAGAAUUCAAAGCUCAUUGGGCAAUCAAGAACAUGGAUCUCCAUCUAGCCGGCAAGAAUCAGCAGAUGCAAAUAUCUGAGCUGGAAGAAUGGAGAGAAAAGUCUUAUCAUAGCUCCAAGAUAUACAAAGAAAGAACCAAAAGAUGGCAUGACAAGAGAAUAAAGCACAAGGAAUUCAUGCUUGGAGAUAAAGUUAUAUUAUUCAACUCAAGAGUAAAGCUCUUCGGUCAUGGAAAGCAUAGAAGUAAAUGGCAAGGACCAUUCAAAGUGAUUGAUGCUAUAUCUCAUGGUGCCAUCACGAUCCAAGAUGAUACAGGUAACACAUUCAAGGUAAAUGGUCAACGUUUGAAUGUUUUUCUUGACCCGAAAAUAUAGAAGAAAUAGAUGUGAUUGAGUUCUUGCAAUUUAAAGACCCAAUAUAAAUUUCAAAAGGGCUCUAGACAACUAAAACUUUUUGGACUAACGCUUAAUCAUUUCCACAAGCUUUGUUGUCUAUUUGAGUUUACAAGUUUUACAGGAACAAGAAGAGCUAACAGGCAGAAGGACAUCCUCUCCCUUGUCGAAUUGUUGUCCACAUAAGUCAAGUGUUGUUUCUAAUAGCAAGUACCCACUACAAUCUAGGAGGAUUAGUACGCCUUCACUGCCUGUUAGCAAAUUCAGACCAUGUCAACAUCCAGCUUGGAGGAGAGCAUCCCGUGUAUACCGAGAUAAGUAUUCCUCACUCAUCUAUUUAUUCUUAGCGCGUUAUGAUAAGAUAAAACUAAGAAGAUGAAUAACCUUAGAAAAUCAAUAAAUACUUCUUUAUUUAUCUUUCAUAAUUAAUUUUGCAAGCUAAGGAGAUCUCUUAGUGAAUCUGUUAUGAUGAAUAGUUGCUCUGCCGUAAUUCCUUGCAAGUACCUAGUUUUCAACCUUGUACUCUCAUGAGUUUUAGACACAACUGUUUAGACUUAAGAUUUUGCUCUGAGCCUAAAACUUUUGGGUAGCAGAUGCUUGAUCUAAAUCAAGGUAGUCGACAUAUAUGAUAUGGGAAGGUUUUUGAGUUGCUGUCAAUCUUGUUCCUAGAGAUACUAGAGUUCUGGAGAAUUUAAUUUGAAAAUUUUAAUUGCUACAUGAUGAGUUCCUUUAUGACGAGAGUUCAGUAUUCCUACCACAGCCAAAUACUCAUGUUUACUAGAUUAGGAAAGCCUCUCACUUAUAUUUCAUCCUAUAAGCAUUGAGGGUACUUAAGUUGUGUAGACCAUAAGGGACUAGUCAUGUAGUUAAAGUCAAAUAUUAUGUGCUCUCCAUCCAUUAAUCUUAGCUACUUAUGUCCUCAUAAGUAUGAAACCACUUACAUUCACUAUGUGCUACUUCUAUUCCUAGAAGUACCACCCACAUAUACGCACUACACUGUGUGUUGUUUCUAUCCUAGAGACACGCACUUAUGCUGCUCCUAUCCUGGGAGUAUGCAUUCCUUAAUUCACCCUACACAUUCCAUGUCCAUUAAUGUUCUACUCCUACACUAGGAGAAGACACCCAAAAAAUAUUCAUUAUUUCUUAUUCUACUUAUCCAAUAAAGCUUCAGUUACUCCUAUUGAUACUCCCUAUUUCUAUUAGUGCAUUAAAAGGGUUGGCUGAUCUAAAAAAAGAGAGAAAAUGAAAGAAAGAGGACAAAGGUCCCAAAAGAAAAGAAAGAGACAGCCAAGUCCUUAUUUUUAGAAUAGAGAGGUAUGUUAUUGCCAAGGAGCAAUUACAGAAUUAGAUGUUCACCAUCAGUCAUCACCCCUCAUAACCACUUUUGUUAUUAUCAUUCAUUGCACUCAGAUGCACACAUGACUUAAUUGUGUAAUUAGUUUCUAUGGAUCCAUGGUUUAACUAUGCAAUACAUGCAAGUAGCCUUGAAUUAUCUCUCCCACCUAUGAGCUCCACAUAAACCUAUUAGAAGUAGGGUGAGAGAGAGAGAAGGCAAUGCCUUAGUCAUAUAAAUACCACAUAUUCUGAGAGAAGAGAGAAGUCAUGCUUUACACUUGCCUUGAGAGGAUCCAAAAAUAGCACAUAUGAGAGACUAGAAAGGGUCAUACAAGGAAUCUCUGAGUUUAUUUGAAACCUUACAAAAACUACAGAAUAAUAGUUGAUCAAAGGGCGAGAAACAUAGCGCUCAACUUAACAGUUUUGUCUUUCAACUGCUCAAGACCUAAGUGACACCUAUAAGCCUAAUAGUGAAAGGUAAUAUGGGUAUGUUUUGAGUCAGAAUAGUUCACUCUAAUCUGGAGGAGAGUCCUUUUUUGAACGCAUGUGUAUUUGUGAGGCAUGCAAGCAUUAUAGCAACUAUAGAUCCAUCACUGAGUCUACCUUUCUUCAGGGACGAGUAAAAGGUAAGCUUGGGAGAGUUUGUUGAUAGUAGAUAAGUACUCUUUUUAACCAUCAACAUAGCAUGAGAAAGGACUUAAAUUAGAAUACUAUCUAGCUAUAGGGGUUAUCACUAACAUAAUUCCACAAGUUUAGGUGAUUACCUAUUUUUGCAGGGGAUUAUCAGAAUAGAAACAAAAGGAGGUCCACAUGUCAGAUUUACAUAGAGAGAAUACCACGAACUUCAACUCUAGAGUAAUCUAGAAGGUUCCAGGAGGCUCUAGACCAAACGGGAGCUCGAAUCGGCUCGAUGGCCGGGCGGGCGCCCCACCUGUCAGGGGCGGCGGCCUGGAGAUCUCCACCAAUCACAGCCAACCUCGCAGAUCCUGCCUCCACCGCCUUUGAGGAGUAAUCUUGAGCGCACGUUUAAGUUGGUUUGAUCCAAGGGUUGUGGUGCUUCCUAGGGAGCUAUAAAUACAACCUUGACCCCCUGGAGGCAUCUCCUUCAUUAGCUACAUCUACAACAGAAAUUAGGGUUUCAUCUAGUAGAGAAGUAGAGGUUCCUCUAAUUCAUCUAGUUCUAGUUCUAGUUCAUCUAGUUCUAGUUCUAGUUGUCUAGUUGUAUCUAGAAAAUAGGGAGAGAGGAGGAGAGAGCUAAGGAGGAGCAAAAUUUGUCGGAUCUUCCUCAACAUUGUCCUUUUGCAGCAUCUGGCUCAUCGCUCAGCAAUCUUUAGGUUCUUUAAUUAUUUCUAGGUUUAGUUCUUAUUUAAUUCUUACUUUAUUAUACUUACUAGAUAUCCGCUCGUAUUGAAUGCUCUAGUUAUCCUAGGUAAUUAGAGUAGUAAGCGCUAGUGUAGACAUGGUGUCUAGACUAGUGUUUACCUGAGUUUGCGCCCAAUCCCACGGUUAGUUGUAGUAGCCCCAUGGGUGACAACCCUGUCAAGUCUUUGUAUUCCACCACAUUCAGGUUGGUGUUUCAUAGAGCUUUUUGGCAGCCUUCUCCCGACUACUUUCUUCCUAGUCUUUUUUGAGAGUCAAAAAGGUACUACUGCUCCACGGUAAGUAUAGUAUAGUAAGCCUAAUCUUUAUCACCCAAUCAACUUAGAAAACUCUAGAAUGUUCCUCUCUACCCACCAAAAAUAUAUAUAUCUUUCUUAUCUUUAUCCUUAGACGACCUUGAUUCUCUAGUACACUUCACGUUCCUUGUGGAAAUCGACACUCUAGAAUACUCUCGGUUGAAAGCUACAUCGGUAUCCGUGUGCUUGGGGAUUUGUGUUUAAAAUACCCAACAGCAAGCCAUAUCCUUCUCCAGUUUAAAGACUGAUUGUUAAGGAAUCUUUUGUGUAUCUCAAUAUAUGGAGUAUAAAAUGGGAAAGGACAAUUGUAUAUUUCUAGUGUAGAAAUAGCAUGGGGCUAGAAAUGGGAUAUAUGGAUGCUUUUGCAAAUUUCCAUGUUACAGAAUAAGCAAUAAUUUUGGUGGUUGCAAACUUCCAGAAUGGAUGGUAGGCAAUAGUGAUAGGUGUAAGUGGGAUCUUGAUCAAAAAGGCAUGACAAGUUUCUCUACUUAGAUCAAUAAGGUCUAAUAAAACUCACACUAACAAGAGAUUUUUAUGGUGGCUUCCUAUCUAAUGGAUGUGUAUAUCUUGCUAAUGGUAGGAUAGGGAAAAACACCAUAAAGGAACUUUGGUAGGAUUUGUGAUUUUCUUUAAAAAAACUCUAGACCUUAUCUUAACUCUUCUUCAAAAAAGUCAUAAGAUUUACUCUAACUCUACUACACCUAAUCUUACUAAGCAUAACUAAGAUCAAGCAUAUGCAACCCACAAAACUUAGAUUUAUAGCGAACUUUAUUCACUACAAGACUAUAGUGGUAGGAAUUGCAUAGCAGACUUGUGCAUCGUUUUUUAGAGCAAUGAUUCAUUAUUUCCAACAUAUUAACAUGGGUUCAAUAGGAAUUGAAAUAGGAUUACUUUUCCGGUUAAGCAUAAUAAAUGGCUAUAUAAUCAAGCUAACCAUGUCCUUAGUAGGAUAGAACAAUGAAUGUAAUGGUAGAAAAGUAAAGGAGCAAUAAUAAGAACGUACCUUAGUGGGGAGAUGACAUCACCCAAGGUAGCUUGUUGCUGGGUGUAGAGCUUAUUCUCUUAGACUAAUAACCUUUUUUUAUUUAUCCAAAAAAAGAAAAACCUAACUACUACUUCAUGAUAUAGCUUAAGGCUAUUCAUAUUUUAUUUAAAGUGAAAAUAUAAAUGAGAUAACAUAAAGUCCUUUCAUGAUUGUUUCAAGGACCUUUUAUUAUUAUUGUUUUAUUUAUUUUGUUAUUAUUUAUUUUUAGUUCUUUAUUUCUCUAUUUUUCUUUUUUUAAAUUGCAUGCUUAAAUUUUUAUUUUGUUUUUAUAAUUUUUAUAUGCAGAUUUAAAAUGAUCCUAAUUCUAAAUGUAAUGAAAGGAUAGACCUAAUCUAAAUGCAAUGCAUGAUUUAAAAGAUAAACUUAGAUGCGAAUUGUAAAUGCAGAAUUAAAUGCAGAGAGAGUAAAACAUAGCUUAAAACCACUAGGGUUCUUCCUAAGCCGGAAGUUCGUCUUUUGGCGGCUUUUUCUUGAGGGGAUCUUCUUCUUCUUCCUCUUUCGACAUGGCCUCCCCCUUGUCAGGAGUCACACAAGAGGCAGUUGAUGAGGGUUCCUUCUUCUUAUGCCAUCCUCUUCUCCUUGAUAUUGGGUUCUUGAAUUUAGCCAUUUUCUUAUUGGUACAUGGUUUCCUCAAGUUUCUUGCUUCUUUUUCAUCGGGUUGCUUUGCCUGCAAGUUAGUGGCAUACUGAAAGCCCUAGUUUGGUUUUGGAUAAUUGAUGAAACCCUAGUACUAACCUCUAUGCUAAGUGUGUGUAGACUUAAUGAGGUUGGCACAUGCCAAGUGAUGGAGCAAGUGAUGAUCAUGGUGAUGAUGGUGAUGACCACAAGGUGAUCAAGUGCUCAACUUGGAAAAGAAGAAAGAGAAAAAGAAAACCCUAUGGAGAUCAAGGCGAAGGUAUUGCUUAGGGUUUUGGUUUUGGUGAUCAAGACACCAUAGAGGGUGUGAUCAUGUUUAGGAUAGAUAGUCGUACUAUAAAGAGGGGAAUUCUUUGGCUAAGCGGUUAUCAAGUGCCACUAGGUGUCAUUAUUCAUGUGCAUGCAUUUAGAACCUAGUGAGCUAACUUAACUCCUUCGAAGAAAAUGGUUGUGAAAAUGCUAACACACGUGCACAUGUUGGUUUACACUUUGUGGUGUUGGCACACUUUGAGAAGGAGGUGGAGUUUGAAGGGUAGAGACAAGUUCAGCGGGCGGCGCUUUUUGAGAAAAUGAAGUGCAUAUUUUCUAUUGCGAAGGUGGGAAAUUUGGAGAAGUCGUGGGUGUGUUUCUCGCUGAGAAACACUCACCGGACGCUUUCCACUAAGGCACCGGACGCUGCGUCUGAGCGUCCGGUGCAGACAGUGCCUGGCCUAGUUAGGGUAAGGCACCGGAUGAUAGGCAUCGGAUGCUGGCUUGAGCGUCCGGUGGUGCACGUCCGGUGUGCGGGCAUUUUGCGACCCUCUCUGCGCAUGGGUCCGGUGAACACCGGACGCUAAGGGUGCGUCCGGUGGCUUGCAUCCGGUGACCCUGCGAGUUUGCGGAGCUCUCUGCGAAAGAGUCCGGUGUGCACCGGACGCGUCCGGUGCCAACUUGCUCAGCGUCCGGUGCUCUGCAGGUUACCGUUAGACUCUGACACGCGGCUGACGUUGGAGCACCGGACGCUGGUGUUGAGCGUCCGAUGCCCCUUUAAGAGCGUCCGGUGACCCCGUGUUUUGCCCAGUGAAAGAGCCAACGGCUCUAUUUGUUUGAGGGGCUAUAAAUCUGUGUUUGGCCGGCUUGAGGCUAAUACUCUUGGCAUUCUAACAUACUUGACAUCUUUGUGAGCCUAAGCAAACACCUCCCACUCAUCUCCUUCAUAGUUUAAACAUCUUUGUGAGAUUGGGAGUGAUUCCAAGUGCAUUUGCUUGAGUGAUUGCAUCUAGUGGCACUUGGGGAUCGUUUUAGCUGCGGUUUUCUUGUUACUCUUGGUGGUUGCCGCCACCUAGACGGCUUGGAGCAGUGGAGGAGCAUUGGCACGAGUAGGUGAUUGUUCGUGGCCAUCUCCCGGUGAUUGUGAGGGGUCCUGUACCUUCCCCGGCGGAGAGCCAAAAGGUAACUCUAGUGGAUUGCUCGUGUCAUUGAGUUACCUCACUUGUGGGUAGGUUCUUGUGGCAUUCUAGUGAGGACGAGGUUCGUGCUACACCUCUUAGCCACCGAACCACCAAGUGUAGGUCGACACAACGGGGACGUAGCGUGCCGGCAAGCACGUGAACCUCGGGAGAAAAAACUUGUGUCCCAUUGUGUUUGUUGAUUGGAUUUCUCCCGGUGAUUGGACUUCAUAAUAUUGUGAUUGGUUCAUCCCCUCUACUCGGUGGUAUAAAGUUCAAACACUCUCUCUUACUUUCUUGCAAUCUAGAGUAGCUUACUUCUUGUAUAGAAACUUUAGGUAGCUCUCUAGUGUAAGUAGAGACUUAGCUCUUGUGUGCAUAGUGAUCAUAGCAACUAGAAUUGUUGGGUAGGUGGCUUGCAAACACCCCUUUAGAGCUAGAGCAAAAAGCUUCACUUUGUUAUUUACUAACCUCUUGCUCUAGUGUUUUUGUAGAAUUUUUAAAUAGGCUAUUUACCCCCCUCUAGCCAUAUUAGGACCUUUCAAGUGGUAUCGGAGCCGUGGUCACCGUUUGUGAAGGCUUAACAAACUCGGUGCUCAAAUUAUGGCUCAAAUAGUGUUCAACCAUGUUGGGGGCACACCACCAUUCUUUGAUGGCACAAGUUCCUUUGACUAUUGGAAGAGAAAAAUGAAGAUGUACCUUGGAUCAAUCAAUGAUAGAGUGUGGGAAGUCACGGAGAAUGACUUUGUGAUCCUUGACCCCGCCAACCCCACCGACAAUGAGAGAGCAAACAAGCAAUGCAAUACAAUGACUCUCAACACAAUCUAUAAUGGCAUUGACUCAAAGGUAUUUGAACAAGUCAAAGAUCUUGAGAGAGCAAGUGAAGUGUGGACAAGGCUAGAAGAAACAUAUGAGGGCACUACAACGGUAAAAAGUGCCAAAUUGUAUAUGCUCAAGGAUAAGCUAUCCAACUUCAAGAUGAAGGAUGAUGAGUCUAUACCGGAGAUGUUCUAUAGGCUCCAAGUCAUCAUCAAUGAUCUCAAGGGCCUUGGUGAGAAAGUGAAGGAUGAGGACUUCAUUCACAAGUUCUUGAUGUGCUUGCCCAAGAGGUUCAAGACAUUAAGAACAAUCAUCUUUAGAGGUGGAUUGACCGGUGUAUCUCCCAAUGAGGUACUUGGAGAUGUCAUGACCGAAGAUCAAUACAAUGACAAUGAUGAUGAUGAGGUCAUGAAGAAGGAUGAUGAUGACAAGGAGAAGAAGAGUGUAGCAUUCAAAGCUAGCUCUUCAUCCAAGAGCAAGAACAAGGGCAAGGCUAAGAAAGAAGAAUCAAGUGAUGAGGAGUGCUCCAAUGAUGACAGUGAUGACGAAGCACUAGCACUCUUUGUCCGCAAGUUUGGCAAGAUGAUGAAGAAGAAGGGUGGAUCCUAUGUUGUGACAUGGGAUAGUGAUGCCUCUUCGGCUGAUGAUUCAAGCGAUGAUGACAAGUCAUCUAAGAAGAAGGCACUUGCAAGCAUUGCUAUCAACAAUCCAUCACUCUUCAACACUCCUUCAUGCUUCAUGGCCAAGGGCCACAAGGUACAAUAUGAUGAGAGUGAAAGUGAAAGUGAAAAUGAACAUGAUAGUGAUAGUGAUGAUGAAAAUGAAUUCACUAAUGAGCAAUUCAUGGACAGGCUAGAACAAGCCGAUUCACUUAUUCAAUCUAAAAACAAGAAGUGCAAAGAAUUGGCCAAGAAGUUAAAAGCUCUUGAGCAAUCCUUUGAUGAGCUCAAUGCUAAUCAUGAGAGGCUAGUGGAAGCCCAUGAGAAGCUUGGCAAGGCUCACACCAAGCUUGAAAAAGCUCACUCCUUGUUAUUAGAAGAGAACUAGGAAAAGGUUGUUGUAUCAUGUGAUGUGGGCACAACAUGUGACUUAACUAAAGAAUCACCUAACGCACCUAUUGUUGUUGCCACUAACUCUUCAUGUAGGUCUUCAUCCACCACCACCAACUCUACCUCUACUUCUAGUGUUAGUGUCACUUGUGAUACCUCACUAAAGGUUGAGAAUGAGACUCUCAAGAGAGAGGUGGAUGAGCUCACUCACGCCUUAGGCAAGGCCUAUGGUGGUGAGGCCCGCUUGCUAAAGUGCUUGGGUAGCCAAAGGUUUUCUCUCAAUAAGGAGGGAUUAGGCUAUACCCCCAAGAAGGGCAAGAAAGCCUAUGCAACUCACAAGAUUAGCUUUGUGAAGAGCAAUGGUCGGUAUUGCAACAAAUGCAAGCAAGUUGGGCACCUAGAGCUUAAUUGCAACAAAAUGAACAAGAACAAGAAAAAUGCUAAUGCACCUUACAUUCCUUCUGAUUCUUGUUAUGUGCUUACCAAGGGUGAGAAGGGUGUGCAUGCUAAGUUUGUUGGUACACCAAUUGUGGGUCCAAAGAAGAAGGCUAUUUGGGUACCAAAAAGCUUAGUCUCUAACCUCCAAGGACCCAAACAAGUAUGGCUACCUAAGAAACAUUGAUUUGUUUUGUAGGUAAACUAUAAAGCCGGAGGAAGGCAUUGGGUGCUUGAUAGUGGGUGCACACAACACAUGACCGGUGAUUCAAGAAUGUUCAAUUCAAUCAAUCCAAAUGAUGACAAUGGUGUUGAUAGUAUCACAUUUGGUGACAAUGGCAAAGGCAAGGUCAAAGGGCUUGGUAAAAUUGCUAUAUCCAAUGAUUUGAGCAUUUCCAAUGUGCUACUAGUAGAGAGCUUGAACUUCAACUUACUAUCCGUGGCUCAACUUUGUGAUCUUGGUUUCAAAUGCAUAUUUGGAGUUGAUGAUGUAGAGAUCAUAAGUGUAGAUGGAUCAAACUUGAUAUUCAAAGGCUUUAGAUAUGAGAAUCUAUACUUGGUUGAUUUCAAUGCUAGUGAAGCUCAAUUGUCAACAUGCUUGCUCACUAAAUCUAGCAUGGGUUGGUUAUGGCAUAGAAGGCUUGGUCAUGUUGGAAUGAAACAAUUAAACAAGUUAGUCAAACAUGAUCUUGUUAGAGGCUUAAAAGAUGUCACGUUUGAGAAAGACAAGCUUUGUAGUGCAUGUCAAGCCGGAAAGCAAGUUGGGAACACUCAUCCAAAGAAGAGCAUCAUGAGUACAUGCAAGGCAUUUGAGUUGUUGCACAUGGAUCUAUUUGGACCAACCACAUACACAAGCAUUGGUGGAAACAAAUAUGGAUUUGUGAUAGUGGAUGAUUUCACAAGAUAUACAUGGGUAUUCUUUCUUAGUGACAAGAGUGAUGCUUUUGCAACCUUCAAAUCAUUUGUCAAGAGAGUACACAAUGAGUUUGAAACAACCAUCAAGAAAGUGAGAAGUGACAAUGGAAGUGAAUUCAAGAAUACAAGAGUUGAUGCUUUUGCAACCUUCAUCCAAGUAUUUGGUGACAAUCUAGAUUGAUGAGCUUUGUGAUGAUAAGCAUUUGGUGGAAACAAAUAUGGAAGUGAAUUCAACAAUACUAGAGUUGAUGAGCUUUGUGAUGAAUUUGGCAUUAGGCAUAAAUUCUCGGCCAAGUACACUCCACAAUCAAGUGGUCUUGUUGAGAGGAAGAAUAGAACAUUGAUUGACAUGGCAAGAUCAAUGUUGAGUGAAUACAAUGUGAGUCAUUCUUUUUGGGCCGAAGCAAUCAACACGGAUUGCUACUAUAGCAACCGACUCUAUUGUCACCCAAUGAUGGAGAAGACACCAUAUGAGCUCUUGAAUGGUAGAAAGCCCAAUAUUGCAUACUUUUGGGUUUUUGGUUACAAAUGCUACAUAUUGAAGAAAGGCACUAGAUUGAGUAAAUUUGAAAAGAAUUGUGAUGAAGGCUUCUUGCUUGGUUACUCCACUACUAGAAAAGCUUAUAGAGUUUGGAAUUUGGCUAGUGGUACUCUUGAAGAGGUGCAUGAUGUUGAGUUUGAUGAAACCAAUGGCUCUCAAGAGGAAGAUGAGAAUCAAGAUGAUGUGAGAGGCACUCCAUUGGCCGAUGCAAUGAAGAAUAUCGACAUUGGUGAUUUAAGGCCUAGAGAAGUGAUUGAUGUUGAAGAUGACAAAGAUCAAGUGCUUCCUACCUCUAAUGUGCAAGCUAGUGGUUCUCAUGAUCAAAAUCAAGCUAGUACAAGUGGUACACAAGUGCAAGAUCAACAAGCUAGUACAUCAUCUCAUGAUCAACCAAGUGCAAGCAAUCAAGUGCAAAUACUCCAACCAACAAAUAUUGCAAGAGAUCAUCCAUUGGAUCAUAUCAUAGGUGAUAUUCAAAGAGGAGUGCAAACUAGAUCAAGAUUAGCAUCAUUUUGUGAGCAUUUCUCCUUUGUGUCUCACAUUGAGCCAAAGAAGAUUGAUGAAGCAUUGAGAGAUGUUGAUUGGGUAAAUGCUAUGCAUGAAGAGCUUAACAACUUCAAAAGAAAUCAAGUAUGGGAAUUGGUUGAGAGGCCUAGUAAUCAUAAUGUCAUUGGUACUAGAUGGGUCUUUCGCAACAAGCAAGAUCAAGAUGGGAUAGUUGUAAGGAACAAAGCAAGAUUGGUAGCACAAGGCUAUACUCAAGAUGAAGGUCUUGACUUUGGUGAAACAUAUGCCCCGCUUGCAAGAUUGGAAGCAAUUAGGAUCUUGUUGGCCUAUGCUUGUGCACACAAUAUCAAGUUAUAUCAAAUGGAUGUGAAGAGUGCAUUUCUCAAUGGCUAUAUCAAUGAAGAAGUUUAUGUUGAGCAACCUCCCGGUUUCGAAGAUGACAAAAAAACCAAACUUGUUUGUGUUGCAAAUAUAUGUUGAUGAUAUCAUUUUUGGAUCAACCAACCAUGAAUUUUGUGAAGAGUUUGGCAACAUGAUGGCUAAUGAGUUUGAGAUGUCAAUGAUUGGAGAGCUUAGCUACUUCCUUGGUCUUCAAAUCAAGCAAUUGAAGAAUGGCACAUUUGUGAGUCAAGGCAAGUACAUAAAAGACAUGCUCAAGAAGUUUGGAAUGGAUGAUGCAAAGGCAAUUAGCACUCCAAUGGGAACAAAUGGAAGCCUAGAUAGUGAUACAAGUGGAAAUAUGGUGGAUCAAAAGUUGUAUCGGUCUAUGAUUGGAAGCCUAUUCUAAGUGACCGUAUCAAGACCGGAUGUCAUGUUUAGUGUAUGCAUGUGUGCAAGAUUCCAAGCCUCACCAAGAGAAAGUCAUUUGAAAGCAACAAAGAGUAUAUUGAGGUACUUGAAGCAUACACAAAAUGUUGGUUUGUGGUAUCCCAAAGGUGCAAAAUUUGAACUUGUUGGAUAUUUCGAUUCGGACUAUGCGGGAUGCGAAGUUGAAAGAAGAAGCACAUCGGGCACAUGUCAACUAUUGGGUAGAUCACUUGUCUCAUGGUCAUCCAAGAAGCAAAAUAGUGUUGCACUAUCAACCGCCGAAGCGGAGUACAUUGCGGCCGGUAGUUGUUGUGCACAAAUCCAAUGGAUGAAGGCAACUUUGAAGGACUUUGGAAUCAACUUCAAGCAAGUGCCAUUGCUAUAUGAUAAUGAAAGUGCCGUGAAGCUCACCAAUGUUGGGAAUUUUAAACGCAAACAAAAAAAUCCGCAAGCGCACGGAUACCGAUGUAGCUUUCACCCGGGAGUAUUCCAGAGUAUCGAUUUUCCACAAGGAACGUGAGUGUACUAAUUAAGAUCCAAGAUCGCCCAGGGAUAACUAUAUGAUUAUUUUUGGUGGGAAGAGAGAAAGUUUUCUGAGAGUUCUCUAGUUGAUCUAAGAAUCAAGAAUUACUUCAAGAUUAUCUAUUUCGGGACAUCAGAACACUAACCACAGAAAGAGAUGAGAAGGGGGCUACGAAGCUCCGACUACGGUCCUACAAACACCGAUCCGAACGAGGUGGAAUACGUCGACCGUUAGGGCUGUCACUACCCUAAGGCUACCACAACAAUCCACAGGAUUGGGUGCAAUUCCAGGUAACUGCAAGACUAAACACCACGUCUAUUCUAUUAAUUACUACUCUAAUGUUUCAAAGAUUGGAGCACUUCAUGCAAGCGGGAAUCCAAUAAAUAACUUGAAUGUAAAUAAAAGUAAUUAGAGAACUCAGGAGUUAUGAAUGGAAGAACCUGGAGAACGAUGAAGAACGAACCAGAUGCUGCAAAAGUACAAAUAUUGAGGAAGAUCCGAUAGAUCCGGCUCCUCCUCCGCUCUCCUCUUCUCUCUCCCUAUUUUCUAGAUUACAACUAGAACUAACUAGAACUAGAACUAGAGGAACUAGAACUAGAACUAGAUGAACUAGAACUAGAUCUAGAUGAACUAGAGGUAGAACUAGAAGAACUAGAGGGAUCCUCUCUACUUGGAUGAAGAAUUGAAACCCUAACUUUGAUUCUGUAGAAGAGGUAUGAUCUCCAGGGGCCAGGGGGUCUGGUUAUAUAGUCUUUUCAGAUGAAUCUGGGCCGUCGGAUCAAACCGACAUUGAUCGCACGGUUUUCCUUCAUCCUUUAGGUCGGUGGAGCAUAAUCCGCGAAACGUGUCGUGAUUGGGCACUGUAGCUGGGCGGGCACCUAGGAGAGUUGGGCGGGCGCCCUGCCUCCGAGCCCGAUUUCGUUCCCGUUCGUUCCGGAGUAUUCUAGAUGAUAGAAAAUUGCGCGACAUGUUAAUAUCUCUAUGUAAACCCAACGUGUGGGCCUUUCUUCCGUAUUUCCUGAUAACCCCCUGCAGAAAUAGACAAACACCAAAACUUGUGGAAUUCUGUCAGAUAAAACCCUAAGUCUAGGUGUUGGUUGCAUUUGGAUCCUUUUCUAUGAUUAGUUGAUGGUUAAUUGUGAGCAUUAAGGACCGUCAACAAGCUCCCCCAAGCUUAAUCCUUGCUUGUCCCUGAGCAAAGAUGGACUCAAGAGUUUCUGCAGUGGUUUCAUGCCUUAAAGAUACAAAUGCAUUCAAACAAGAUAUCAUCUCUGGGUUAGAGUAAACUGUUAAGACUUAAAACUUACUCAUAUUACCUUUCACCAUGGGGUUUGUAACCGUCACUUCUGUCUUGAGUAGUUAAAAGAUAGAACGGUCUAAUCAAACGCUAUGUCUCUUGUUCUUUGAUUAACUAUAGCUCUGGAGUUUUUGUAGAUUUUCAAAUAAAACUUAGAGAUUCCUUGUAUGACUCUCUCUAGUCUCUCUUUUGUAGUAUUUCUGGAUCCUUACCAAGGCAGUGAUGGUAUAUGCCUUCUCUCAAAGUAUGUGGUAUUUGCAGUAUGAAGUAUAGUGGCAUUGCCUUCUCUCUCACCCUACUCUAAUAAGGUUUUGAUAUCUGGAGCUCAUAGGUGGGAGAUAGCUAAUACAUACUUACAAGACAUUUAUUGCAUAGUCAAACCAUGGAUCCAGAAGAACAAGUCAAUAAGUCAAAUCAAGAUGUGCAUGUGUGGCGAAUGAAUGGUGUAUGGUGAUGAUGGUGACAACAAUGGUGAAAGUCUAAUUCUACUUGUGCUCUUUUGAGGGGAUACAUACCUUUCUUGCUCUUUUGGAACUUUUUGAGGAGAAUGAGAUGCUCUAUAUUUUCUUUUUCUUUUCUCUCAGGUGGGUAUUUUGUAUCCCUAAUUCUACUGUCGGACACUUGUCCAUUUUUACCUCUCGUCUCACUUUUUCUUUUCUUUUGAGGUUUCGGGCACUUGCCCCUUUUUAUUUCCUCGUAUCUCUUUUUUUCUUUCUUUUUUUAGAGCACUCAUCUCCUGAAAUAAUAUAGCAAGUGGUAGUAACCAAGAUAACUUGAGCAUUCAUUUCAAAGGGGAAAACAGAAAUAGGAGAAUGUUUUUAGCUAUUCUCUCCCGGAUUAGGAGUAGAAUAUUUUUGGAUGGUUUUGGAGAUGGAAAUGAGUGGAUGUGCAAGUGAAUCUUGAUUUAACCACAUGACAAGCUCCUAAGGGUCUACACAGCUUGACCACACUCAAUGCUCAUAAGCAGUAAAAAGUAAAUGUGUGGCUCAAAGUCUAGCAAGCAUGUAUAUAUGGCUGUGGUAGGAAUUUAAACUCUCAUCAUACAGGAACUCAUCAUGCAACAUUUUAAAGAUUUUUCAAAGAUAAAAUUCUCCAGAAUUCUAGCAUCUCUAGGAAUAGAUAAACAGCAGCUCAACCUUCCCAUCUCAUAUCCGUUAACGACUUAGACUUUAGAUCAAGUACUCUUCCCACAAGUUCAGGUUUAGAGCAAAUCUUAAUUAAUAACAGUCAUGCCUAAACUUGAGAGAGAUUUUAAUUUUGAGAACUAGUCAUGGCAGAGCAACUAUUCAUUAUUUCCAUGUGAGAGCUUAUCAUGAGGGUUCAUAGCAAACUUUAUUUAUUUAUUUAUUUAGCAAUCUAAGCAAAGAUAUAUAUAUAUAUAUAAGCACAAAAUCUUUAUUUGGGUUUUUAUGAUUAUGCAUCUUUUAUUAUUUGAGUAAAGUAUAAAGAUGAGUAGAACACUUAGCUGGAUAAAUGGGAGUGCUCUCCCCCAAGCUGGAUUUUGACGUAAUUCCUUGUGAUGUAGCUAGCAGGUAGCGGAGAUGUAUUUGAAUGUCGGCAGCACCCUGACAGCGAUUAGGAUGUCCUCUGUCUGCUAGUCUUCUUUGAUCCUUGAAUUCUGUGGAGCUCAAAUAGACAACAAAGCUUUGUGGAACUGGUUAAGUGUUAGCAUAAGUAUCUAGCCUUUAUCAUGUUGAGCCUCCUCAAUAAAUGUUACUCUCUUUAGUAGGAUCAUAAAUUUAUGUUUAUAAUUUUAUUUUUAUAGGAUAGGAAUAUAUUUAUUUUAUUUUUUUAUGCCACCACAGUGAAUGUACUUAUGGGUUUUAUGCCAUGAGCAUACUCACAUGGGGCUUACUAUUUUAAACAUUUUUAUUUUCUUUUCAAGAUGAUGUGAACCUGAUUAACUAAGCAAACUAUUUUAAAUAAUUGAAAGGAGAAAGAUAACUACCAAGUUUACCACUUGGCAAGGCGUUCGGUGUUUUUAAGUCCGGGACUCUCUGUUUUCUCAGUCGUCCUGGGCUUCGUUGGAUGGCGUAGUCGGUGGUUCCGGUGGCGCUUCUUCUUCAUGUAUAACUAUCUUCUCUUUCCACACCUGACUCGGUACUACGAUCUCCUCAGGACAGUUCUAUUCAAGCUAUAUGGCUUCAGACCUCACUACUUUUCCUUUGUAGUCUGCCCAUCCGUCCUUGAUGAUUUUACCUUCUCUGGUUGCGGUUGCGUCGUCUCCUUCUUGUCCUGACCUGCUUAGAGUCUUCAACUAUAUAGUUUGGGUCAGUACAAUAGCGGCGUACCUUCUCAGAGGGGAAGUGCAUGUGGACUUCUCCGGUUCCAAUGUAAAUGAUUGCUUUAACAGUGUUGAGGAACGGUCUUCCAAGGAUGAUGGGUGGAUUGUACUCAUCUUCAACCUUUCGGAAUGUCUAAUCUGCCAUCUAGAGCUGAAUGUAUGUCGGUUUUAGGGGCAUGGUUCCGAACCGGAGCUGAUAAGUGACUGCGGCCAUUAUGUUGACGUUAGAUCCGGUGUCGUAGAGUGUCUUCUAAAAAGAGUAUCCGGUGAUUGUGCACUCGAUGCUUGGAACACCAGAGUUGUCCUUCUUGAUCAAGAAAGGCGACUUGAGUUGACGAUCUUGACCUCCUUGAGCUGCAGUGACCAUCUUAGCUGACUCGGUCCACACUUGCUUGUUCCUGUUCCUACUGUUGGUCCUCUUCCUAGGUUCAUGUCUGGAUUGCUCUGAGAUUUGUGUAGUCUUAUUCUUGAAGGUAAACGUCUCCGUCCUUCCCAUGAUGUAGAAACUGAUCUUGGCAGCACUAGCGUAGAUGACAACUCCCGAGGUGUUCAGGAAUGGCCUUCCUAGUAUGAUGGGUGCCCUCUGAUCAGUAUCAGUCUCUAUCACCACGAAGUCUGCUGGAGCGUAUAAGGUACCAACUCGGACGUACAGGUUCUUCAAUAUUCCCUUUGGGAAACUUAGUGUCUGAUCUGCAAGCUACAAACACGUGGUUGUUUCUAGGAAAGGACGUGUAAAGAAUUUUUCGUAGAGUACCCUGAGCAUAAUGUUGACGCUGGAGCCAAAGUUGCAGAGUGCUUCUAGGAAGUCCACCAUGCCGAUGGAGAUCGGGAUGACGGGGUGUCCUGGAUCGCCUCUCUUGACCGGUAGAAGGUCAGUAAUUACUUCCACAACGGGGUUACUCCAGUAGUUACGUGCUCAAGCAUCUCAGGGCAGUGAUUGCCUGAGUGUCCAGUAUCUCCAGUGUGUUUGUGCUCGUAGAUCUUGGUUCUUCACUUGGUGGAGUCUGGGAGUUGUAACACUCCUUCAUAUUUUGCUCGAAGUGUACCUCCUCAUAAAGACAAGGCAGAGAUCGAGUGCAUGGGCCCUGUUGGUGGAAAACACCAACAGAACCAAAAGUGUAUUUGUUCUUCUCUAACCUCAAGCAUAGUGAGCAAGACAAAGUUGAUAGAUAAUAAGAUCAUGAGUGUAGCAUUUAAAACAUUUGUCAGAUCAGAUCACUCAACCUAAUGGAAAGAUAAUCUAUCUAUACUUAUGUUGUUUUUUUUAUAUAUAUCUUCCAAAGAUUGAGUGUGCAACAUUUUAGCUCAUAUGAUUAGGAGUGUGGGAUCACAAAGGUGGAAAGACUAAACAUAUUGAAUCGAUUGGGUUGGUUAAUCUAGAUUUGUAAAUCAUACAUGUUUGUCUCUUUUAUUCAUGUGAACGGAAGAACUAAGGAGAAGCUUAUAAAAGUGAUAGUCAAGUACCUUAAGAUGUUACCUUACUUGAAGAGUGAUGGUACAGUAUCACCUUGUGGAAGCUUUCCUUACUUAGCGGUUGUGCAUCGUGCUUGUGGCACCCUCCAUGGAUCAUCUCUUGUGAGCUAUGCCUUCCUUGUGUAAAUUGUUAAACUUCAUGUGCCUCUCUCUUCGUCUCCAACGUGAGUGUAUCUCAGGACUUCCCAGGUCGAUAUUGAAAGUUUUCCUGUAGGGGUUAGUCCAACAAAAUAUCCAAUAUCUACUAUAGCAUACUAUUGGCUCAAAAAUCAACCUAGACACCAUGUCUAAUUUGAUUUAGGAGGGUAUUUUAACCUAAGCAUCAUGCUUAAUUUAAACUCCCUUGGAAGUAAGAUCAUCAGCCCUAAACUAAGCACCAUGCUUAAUUAAGAGAUAAAUGAAACUACUCCAAACCUAGACGUAUACUAAAGCAAAUAAAGGUAGCAUGAGAGGAUUUAUAGAGAUCUACUCAAGUGGAGAUAAAGCAGUGUGAUUACUAUUUAACAAAUUGAGCAUGUCUCAAAGGUAGGGACAACCAACAUAGCAACAUGGCAAAUGAUGUUUUUAUAUAAAGUACUCCCCCAAGCUUGAAUUUUGCAAAAUUCAAGUUUGGAUGAAUUUAAUUCAAUGUUGUAUGAUGAUUGGUUGUACAUACCUUGUGCUUGUCAUUCAUCCGAUCUUCUUGCUCCAAUCCUAGAAAGGUUAGUGACAAGAAUACCCGAAGGAAUUUUUUUACAAUUAUCCUUACAUGCUCAAUACACAAGGUAAUGUUGUAAAUAAUUAAAAGCUUAUGUUACGAUCUGAUCAGUGCUUGUUUUAGGACACUAAUCUUGUCCUUGGGAAACCAUGAAUUUAUGUCGGCGAAGUGGUUUCCCCUCCAACGCUGACCUAUAUCAAGAUCAACUCAACGAGAUCUGCAAUAUUUAAUAUAGACAUAUGCAUCGACAACCGCCCUUUUAAAGUUUUUAUAAAUAGAAAGGAUGAGGGGGUUGGAGAUCUCGAAUGUGGUGAUGUUGGGGAGACCAAUGGAUUGUGAAGAUGUUGCAUAUGAGCAUGGAGUAAAUGAAGUGGCUAUAAAAUAAAUUCCAUGCUCAUUAAUGCUUAGAGUGAAAUCCAUGUGGUAUGGUGAAAGUAAUAAGGUGAGUGUGGUAAAAAAAAGGAAAAGAAAAAGGAUACACGGACGACUUCGUUCGAAACUAGCACAGCUACCGUUCCCCGGCAACGGCGCCAGAAAGCUUGUUGGGUAUUUUAAACGCAAACAGAAAAAUCCGCAAGCGCACAGAUACCGACGUAGCUUUCACCCGGGAGUAUUCCAGAGUAUCGAUUUUCCACAGGGAACGUGAGUGUACUAAUUAAGAUCCAAGAUCGCCCAGGGAUAACUAUAUGAUUAUUUUUGGUGGGAAGAGAGGAAGUUUCCUGAGAGUUCUCUAGUUGAUCUAAGAAUCAAGAAUUACUUCAAGAUUAUCUAUUUUGGGACAUCAGAACACUAACCACAGAAAGAGAUGAGAAGGGGGCUAGGAAGCUCCGACUACAGUCCUACAAACACCGAUCCGAACGAGGUGGAAUACGUCGACCGUUAGGGCUGUCACUACCCUAAGGCUACCACAACAAUCCGCAGGAUUGGGUGCAAUUUCAGGUAAUUGCAAGACUAAACACCACGUCUAAUCUAUUAAUUACUACUCUAAUGUUUCAAAGAUUAGAGCACUUGAUGCAAGCGGGAAUCCAAUAAAUAACUUGAAUGUAAAUAAAAGUAAUUAGAGAACUCAGGAGUUAUGAAUUGAAGAACCUGGAGAACGAUGAAGAACGAACUAGAAGCUGCAAAAGUACAAUGUUGAGGAAGAUCCGACAGAUCCGGCUCCUCCUCCGCUCUCCUCUUCCUUCUCCCUAUUUUCUAGAUUACAACUAGAACUAACUAGAACUCGAACUAGAGGAACUAGAACUAGAACUAGAACUAGAUGAACUAGAACUAGAUCUAGAUGAACUAGAGGUAGAACUAGAAGAACUAGAGGGAUCCUCUCUACUUGGAUGAAGAAUUGAAACCCUAACUUUGAUUCUGUAGAAGAGGUUUGAUCUCCAGGGGCCAGGGGGUCUGGUUAUAUAGUCUUUUCAGAUGAAUCUGGGCCGUCGGAUCAAACAGACAUUGAUCGCACGGUUUUCCUUGAUCCUUUAGGUCGGUGGAGCAUAAUCGGCGAAACGUGUCCUGAUUGGGCACUGUAGCUGGGCGGGCGCCCAGGAGAGUUGGGCGGGCGCCCUGCCUCCGAGCCCGAUUUCCUUCCCGUUCGUUCCCGUGGCUUCUAGAGUCUUCUAGAUGAUAGAAAAUUGCACGACACGUUAAUGUCUCUAUGUAAACCCGACGUGUGGGCCUUUCUUCCGUAUUUCCUGAUAACCCCCUACAGAAAUAGACAAACACCAAAACUUGUGGAAUUCUGUCAGAUAAAACCCUAAUUCUAGGUGUUGGUUGCAUUUGGAUCCUUUUCUAUGAUUAGUUGAUGGUUAAUUGUGAGCAUUAAGGACCGUCAACAACCAACAAUCCGGUUCAACACUCAAGAACAAAGCACAUAGAUGUCCGCCAUCACUUCAUAAGAGAUCACCAACAAAAAGGGGACAUUUGUAUUGAGAGUAUAGGCACCGAUGAUCAACUUGCCGAUAUAUUCACCAAGCCACUUGAUGAGAAGAGGUUUUGCAAGCUAAGGAAUGAAUUGAACAUACUUGACUUUUCAAAUAUGUGUUGAUGCACCCCCACUCAUAUGACAUGCCUCUCCUUCGAGCAAAGCAAGGUAACAUUGAUUGACAUGUCAUUCAUCCUAUGCUAAGGACUUGCUUAGUGCAUCUAGUCAUUCUUUAAAUAUCUUAGGCUCAUUCAUGAAAAUCAAAUGAAUUUGAUGCUUGUAUGGUACCACUAUUGCUUCUAUGCUUGACUUGAUCUAGUGGUAGCAUAUGACAUGUUUUUGGGCUUGCAAUCCUAGUGUUUGAUCUAGAAUAUGAGCUAUAAGUGUUUAACUCAACAUGGUACAAGAUAACCCUUAUUUGGAGGUGUGAAGAAGCUUGUCCUUGGAUCAAACCGAGUUAAAUAUCUUAGGCAAGUAAUCUAGAUUGGACCAAUUUGGUAAAAUGAUCUCACUUCACAUGGUUUCACACUAACCUAUAUAAAAUUUGAACUCACCUUUUGUGGUCUUUGAUGACAAAGGGGGAGAAAAUUUCCCAAAGAUUUAAGAUAGGUGAGUAACAUGAUAAAAGAAGGGGAUCAAUUAAAAUUUUGAAGCACACAAGUAGGGGGAGCAAGCUCAUUAACUUGUAUGUUGCAUUUGAAUGUGCAUCACAUAUGGUUGCUUGCAUUUGCAUUAGCUUUAGAAGCUUUCUCUCCGAUACCUUGCUUGUGUGAUGUAUGCUAGUUAUAGGUUUGAUUGAUGAAAUGAAGAACUAGCAUGCAUAGGUAGUGUAACUAGACUUUUAGUUAUUUCACAAGUGGUACAAGAGUUUAUAAUGUUGAUCUCACGGGGUGUUCUAGUUUUGUGAAUGUCUAGUCACUAAUGGUGCUAAGGAUGGUGUAUAUUGGCAACUCCGAUUGGUAUCACGCUUCAAAGGUCCAUUCUUUACACCUUAGCAUCAUUUGGUAUAAAUUGACUCCUAUAUUUCCUAUUCAAAGCAUAUGUGCAAGCUUUCAAAUCCAAACUCUUAGCACAUAUGUAGGGGGAGCAAUUGCUACCAAUUUGGGUUUAUAAAACUUGUCCAUAACCUUUGCACAUCGUAAAAUGCUUGGGCAAGCAACAUGAAUCCAAGAAAAUUUUAUUGAAAAUCUUUGUAAAAAGGGUUGUCAUCAAUUACCAAAAAGGGGGAGAUUGAAAGCCCUAGUUUGGUUUUGGAUAAUUGAUGAAACCCUAGUACUAACCUCUAUGCUAAGUGUGUGUAGACUUAAUGAGGUUGGCACAUGCCAAGUGAUGGAGCAAGUGAUGAUCAUGGUGAUGAUGGUGAUGACCACAAGGUGAUCAAGUGCUCAACUUGGAAAAGAAGAAAGAGAAAACCAAAAUCCUAUUGAGAUCAAGGUGAAGGUAUUGCUUAGGGUUUUGGUUUUGGUGAUCAAGACACCAUAGAGGGUGUGAUCACAUUUAGGAUAGAUAGUCGUACUAUAAAGAGGGGAAUUCUUUGGCUAAGCAGUUAUCAAGUGCCACUAGGUGUCAUUAUUCAUGUGCAUGCAUUUAGAACCUAGUGAGCUAACUUAACUCCUUCGAAGAAAAUGGUUGUGAAAAUGCUAACACACGUGCACAUGUUGGUUUACACUUUGUGGUGUUGGCACACUUUGAGAAGAAGGUGGAGUUUGAAGGGUAGAGAGAGGAUGGGUUUAUUCGGCGCUUUUUGAGAAAAUGAAGUGCAUAUUUUCUAUUGUGCCGGUGGGAAAUUUGGAGAAGUCGUGGGAGUGUUUCUCGCUGAGAAACACUCACCGGACGCUGGCCACUAAGGCACCGGACGCUGCGUCUGAGCGUCCGGUGCAGACAGUGCUGGCCUAGUUAGGGUAAGGCACCGGACGAUAGGCACCGGACGCUGGCUUGAGCGUCCGGUGGUGCGCGUCUGGUGUGCGGGCAUUUUGCGACCCUCUCUGCGCAUGGGUCCGGUGAGCACCGGACGCUAAGGGUGCGUCCGGUGGCAACUUGCUCAGCGUCCGGUGCUCUGCAGGUUACCAUUAGACUCUGACACGCGGCUGACGUUGGAGCACCGGACGCUGGUGUUGAGCGUGCGGUGCCCCUUUAAUAGCGUCCGGUGACCCCGUGUUUCGCCCAGUGAAAGAGCCAACGGCUCUAUUUGUUUGAGGGGCUAUAAAUAUGUGUUUGGCCGGCUUGAGGCUAAUACUCUUGGCAUUCUAACAUACUUGACAUCCUUGUGAGCCUAAGCAAACACCUCCCACUCAUCUCCUUCACAGAUUAAACAUCUUUGUGAGAUUGGGAGUGAUUCCAAGUGCAUUUGCUUGAGUGAUUGCAUCUAGUGGCACUUGGGGAUCGUUUUAGCUGCAGUUUUCUUGUUACUCUUGGUGGUUGCCGCCACCUAGACGGCUUGGAGCAGCGGAGGAGCAUUGGCACGAGUUGGUGAUUGUUCGUGGCCAUCUCCCGGUGAUUGUGAGGGGUCUUGUACCUUCCCCGGCGGAGAGCCGAAAGGUAACUCUAGUGGAUUGCUCGUGUCAUUGAGUUACCUCACUUGUGGGUAGGUUCUUGUGGUGUCCUAGUGAGGACAAGGUUCGUGCUACACCUCUUAGCCACCGAACCACCAAGUGUAGGUCGACACAACGGGGAUGUAGCGUGCCGGCAAGCACGUGAACCUCGGGAGAAAAAUCUUGUGUCCCAUUGUGUUUGUUGAUUGGAUUUCUCCCGGUGAUUUGACUUCAUAAUAUUGUGAUUGGUUCAUCCCCUCUACUCGGUGGUAUAAAGUUCAAACACUCUCUCUUACUUUCUUGCAAACUAGAGUAGCUUACUUCUUGUAUAGAAACUUUAGGUAGCUCUCUAGUGUAAGUAGAGACUUAGCUCUUGUGUGCAUAGUGAUCAUAGCAACUAGAAUUGUUGGGUAGGUGGCUUGCAAACACCCCUUUAGAGCUAGAGCAAAAAGCUUCGCUUUGUUAUUUACUAACCUCUUGCUCUAGUGUUUUUGUAGAAUUUUUAAAUAGGCUAUUCACCCCCCUCUAGCCAUAUUAGGACCUUUCAAGUGGUAUCGGAGCCGUGGUCACCCUUUGUGAAGGCUUAACAACCUCGGUGCUCAAAUUAUGGCUCAAAUAGUGUUCAACCAUGUUGGGGGCAAACCACCAUUCUUUGAUGGCACAAGUUCCUUUGACUAUUGGAAGAGAAAAAUGAAGAUGUACCUUGGAUCAAUCAAUGAUAGAGUGUGGGAAGUCACGGAGAAUGACUUUGUGAUCCUUGACCCCGCCAACCCCACCGACAAUGAGAGAGCAAACAAGCAAUGCAAUACAAUGGCUCUCAACACAAUCUAUAAUGGCAUUGAUUCAAAGGUAUUUGAACAAGUCAAAGAUCUUGAUAGAGCAAGUGAAGUACAUGACAGAGCAACUAUUUAUCAUAUCCAUAAAAACUUUAGGUAGCUCUCUAGGAACAGAUAAACAGCAGCUCAACCUUCCCAUAUCAUAUCCGUUAACGUCUUAGACUUUAGAUCAAGUACUCUUCCCACAAGUUCAGGUUUAGAGCACGUUUAAAUUAUAUUAGUCAUGCCUAAACUUGAGAGAGAGCUCAAACUUGAAAACUAGGUACAUGGCAGAGCAACUAUUUAUCAUAUCCAUGUAAGAGUUUAUCAUUUAAGUUUAGUUUGGCCUAGACACUUUAUUUAUUUAUUUAGCAAACUAAGCAAAGAUAUAUAUAUAUAAGCACAAAAUUUUUAUUUGAGUUUUCAUGAUUAUGCAUCUUUUUAUUAUUUGAGUAAAGUAUAAAUGUGAGUAGAAACACUUAGCUGGAUAAAUGGGGGUGCUCUCCCCUAAGCUGGAUUUUGAUGUAAUUUCUUCUGAUGUAUCUAGCAGGUGACAGAGGUGUAUCUGAAUGUCGGCAGCACCCUGACAACGAUUAGGAUGUCCUUCGUCUACUAGUCUUCUUUGAUCCAUGAAUUCUGUGGAGCUCAAAUAGACAACAAAGCUUUGUGGAACUAGUUAAGUGUUAGCAUAAUUAUCUAGCCUUUAUCAUGUUGAGCCUCCUCAAUAAAUGUUACUCUCUUUAGCAGGAUCAUAAAUUUAUUUUUAUAUUUUUUUUAUAGGACAGGAAUAUAUUUAUUUUAUUUUUAUGCCAAUACAGUGAAUGUACUUAUGGGUUUUAUGCCAUGAGCAUACUCACAUGGGGCUUACUAUUUUUAACAUUUUUAUUUUCUCUUCGAGAUGAUAUGAACCUGAUUAAAUAAGCAAACUAUUUUAAAUAAUUGAAGGGAAAAGGAUAACUACCAAGUUUACCUUUUGGCAAGGCGUUCGGUGUUUUUAAGUCCUCCGAACGGGACUCUCCGUUUUCUCAAUCGUCCUGGGAUUCGCUGGAUGUCGUAGUCGGUGGUUCCGGCGGCGCCUCCUCUUCGUGUAUAACUAUCUUCUCUCUCCAUACCAGACUCGGUGCUACGGUCUCCUAAGGACAGUUCUGUUCAAGCUGUAUGUCUUCAGACCAUACUACUUCUCCUUCGUAGUCUGCCCAUCCGUCCUUGAUGAUUUGCCUCCUCUGGUUAUUGUUGCGUCGUCUUCUUUUUGUCCUGACCUACUUAGAGUCUUCAACUAUAUAGUUAAUGAUAUGACCACACCACCAAGCAAGAUGUCACUAGCUCCAAGUCAAGCUACAUCCACUCAAGUUUCACCUACGCCGACACCAGCCCAUGUCGUCAAUGGACCGAUUACACGUAGUCGUGCAAAGAAGCUACAACAAGAGGUCCACACGCUACUUUAUGAGAUUUAUGUUAACAUUAAUGAGAAUUAUAUACUACAUAAGUGUUGUACCUUGAUUGUACUCAGGUAUAUAGAAGAAGAGAAUGAUGAAUCGGACCCUGAAGAACGGACCAGUGCAAGUUCCAGAAGAAGUCAAAAACGGACUAGUGAAAGUCAAAAAUGGACCAGGGCAAAGAAAUCUUCAUAACUUUUAACUCACAAAAGCUAUGAAGGUCCAUGAGCACUUGUUGGAAAACUUGACAAGUUUACUUUCCAAUGAAUCUAGUGGCGACCAAUUUGGAUACACCAAAUUGCCUGUAGACCAGAAUUAGCAUAGACUGCUUAGAAGGUCAAUAGUCUGUCGUGACAGAAUAUUGGUACAACUUGCCAAGUAAAACUGUACCAAUCUACAAUGUUUCGUAUUGGUUGGAAUACAUUGCUAGAAAGCCCUUUGAGUCUAGUUUCACACCCAAGAAACGGUUCAUCAUUUGGACUUUCCAAUAAAAAGUUAUGGUCAGUUUAUUGGAAACUGCUCUGGAGGCCAACAGUCACAUGAAGCCACUUCGGGAAUCCAUUUCGAGGGGACCUUUCACAUUGCCUUCCCUCAGAAACUCUAUUUCGUUUUCAUACCUAUCUAGCAGGGCUAUUGCUAGUAUAAAUACCCCCUAAGACUCAUUGUAAUCUUAGACUUUUGAGAAUUGAAAUACAGAACCCCUUUUGUUUAGCUGUGUGCUAGCAAAUAUUCAGAGAGUGAUCUCUACCCCUUUGCUCUUGUGAUUUCCUCGCGUGAUUACAUAGACGGUGGCUUCAUCUGCUCCCAAUUGGUGCUCCUACUUCCUUGAAGGUAUUCUUUGAUUGAUUGUAGGUUGUGUUGGUUGGUUCUUUGAGAGUGUGGUUGGGUGAAUCCUCGAUUCAGGUUGCCGGUUAAAGACGGUGGUUGGCUUCGAGUUUUAUUUGCCAGGUUGCACUAGUUAUCGCUGCUUGCAGCAAGUUAUCUGGCUAUUCUUCAGCUAGUUAUCGGUGUUCUUCCUUUGUCGUGAAGAUCGGGACAACGUGUCGCAUCAACUGGUAUCAAAGCUUUUGCUACCACGGUAGGAAUUCUAUCCCUAUCUACAUAUAUAUUUUUGCUUCGUCCUAUCCACCAAAAAGCCAGAAAAAUAGAUUGCUUAGACCUUUGUUUCAAUCUGUUAUUUUAGUGAGUUCGGUUAAGUCGCAGUCCAUUAGAGUCUUUGUUUUAGUUGCUGAUCAUUUAUCCUUCGCGUGUUCUUUGUGCCUCUUUUAUAUCUAAAAAUCCCCACAAAUAAAAUCUCUAUAGCAUAUAUCAUCCUUUGUGUUAACUUUGAUCCUAUCUAGCUACUGGUUGUUGUUUUAUUUAUAUUUAGUUGUGCAAGUAUCAUAAUCUGAUCCCUGUUUUUUAGUUCUAUAUAUAAAAAAAAGUGUGUCAAAAAAAAAAGAAAAGAAAGUGCAAAAAAAAGUGAUGUGAAAAAAAAAGUUGAGAAAGGUUUAGAGAGAAAGUCUGAAAGAUUAGUUGGUUUAUGUGGACAAGUGCUGAAAGUUUCAUAUCAAGUUCUGCAACCAGUUUGCUAUCUUUGUUUGGUGCAAAACUUUGGUUGGGUCUGAUUGCAACACUUGCAUCCCAAUCAUAAUCCUUGUUUGCAUCAAUUCUGAAAUUUCUUUGCGUGUGUGUGAUCUAUUUAUACACUUCGAAUCUUUUGAUCAGCACUAGGUAGAGAACUUCUAGUUUGGAUCGUUACUUAACUUUACAACAACUAGAAUUCAGAUUGCAUUCCUUGUGUAUUACUCCCCACCAAGCUCCACAUAAAAACCAUCGUAAUCGGUACUCUCUGUUCUUGUAUUCGCCUUGUCAUCACUUUCAGUUGCCACCACGCAUUUGUUUUCCUUGUAAUCUACAGCAGAGGAAUUCAUAAGAGCUUCGGUGGUUAGAGAGGUGAGUUGUGAGAGCCACCAAAUUUUCAUAUUCCACAAAUACAAAUUAUUUGUAUUCAGCUAACCUUACAGGAAGAUGGGUCGAGUGGACAUCAAAGAUCGUGUUACCAUAACACAAUUUAAUAAACUCCGACAAAGCAUGGAAGAAAAGCAAGAGAGGUUUACACAAGAUCUUCAAAAUCUUAUGACUGAAAUCAGAAGGCAUCGUCCACCUCAUGAUGGUGCAAGCAACCAUAGUGGAGAUAGAGAAGAUAGUGAUGGAGGAAGAGGAGGUCGGAGGAACCAAAGGGCUGCAAAUGGUAAAGGAAGAAGACAUAGUGGAAGAAAUGAUGAUGAAUCUGAAGAUGAGGCUGAUGACAACCGUUUCUAACUCAGUUUUGGUCGUCGAUGUCAUAGAAGAGGCAACCAUAAAGAAAGAUUUGGCAAACUGAAAUUUACCAUGCCAAAAUUUGCUACUGAACCAUCCACGAGGAAUUUCUCUGGAGGAAGCAAAUCACACACAAAAUUUGCUGCUGAACCGUCCAUGGUGAAAAGUUCAAGUGGAGGCUCACAAUCUAAUUUUCAGGAUACUUUUAGUGGAAGGAAUACUGCUGUCCCAAGUUCAAAACCUGCAGCAUCAACCACUACUUCAGAGGGUUCUACUUCCAGGAGUAGUGGAAUUCAGAGCUUCAAGUGCGGAGGCCUUGGGCAUAUAUGUAAGGAGUGCCCCAAUACUCAGGUGAUCAUUGUGAAUGAUGAUGGAGAAUUUGAAUCAGCUAGUGAAGAGGGAAUUGAGGAGGAAGCCCAUGGAGAUGAGGACCUUACUAGCUGCGAGUGUGAGCAAGGAGCUGCUCUUGAGGUGACUCAAAUCUUGAGUGUUCAGGCAAAUGAAGCUGAAAAUGAGCAGCGACACAAAUUAUUUCAAACUAGAGCAAAGGUGCAUGAUAAAGUGGUAAAGGUGAUUAUCGAUGGAGGGAGCUGCCAUAAUCUUGCUAGUUGUGAGAUGGGUGAUAAACUUGGCUUGAAGCUGCUACGACACCCUCAUCCAUAUCAUGUACAGUGGCUGAAUGAUUCGGGAGAUAUCAAGAUUGGAUAUAAAGUAAACUUUCCAUUCAAGAUUGGUGAAUAUGUUGACACGGUAGAGUGUGAUGGGGCACCUAUGUUGGUGUGUCACUUGCUGCUUGGAAGACCAUGGCAAUAUGAUCGAUAUAGCCAACAUUGUGGGAGAACAAAUCAGUUCAAUAUCAAUCUAAAGGGGAAGAAGUUUGUUCUAAAGCCUAUGACACCCCAACAAAUCAUGGCUGAACAUUUACAAAAGAAAUCUCAAAUUGUUCCAGUGAGUAGAGAGGAAGGAGAGCAAAAGAAAUUGAGUGCCAUCCACAAUUCGGUGAGUGAGUGCCACAAGCCAAAUUUGAGGGAGAAAAAGAAAGGAGAGGGAGAGAAUGUAGUCAUGCUAGCCACAAAAUCUGAAAUGAGAGAAGUGAGGAAUAACCCCGAACAAAUGCUCUUUGUACUUGUGUACAAAGACAUUGUAAUUUCAGCAAAUGACAUGGCCUCUCUUCCUAGUAUUGUGUCUCAUCUUUUGCAGGACUAUGGAGAUGUCUUUCUAGAAGAAACACCGGCAGGACUACCUCCAAUUCGUGGGAUUGAGCAUCAAAUUGAUCUCAUUCUAGGGGAUGCACUACCUAAUCGACCACCAUACCGAACCAAUCUAGAAGCAAAAGAGAUACAAAGGCAAGUGCAAGAACUUCUUGAUAAAGGUUUUGUUCGUGAAAGUUUAAGUCUUUGUGCUGUUCCUGUAAUUUUAGUGCCUAAGAAAGAUGGUUCUUGGAGGAUGUGUGUUGAUUGUAGAGCUAUAAAUAACAUCACUGUUCGCUAUCGCCACCCUAUCCCACGUUUAGAUGACAUGCUUGAUGAAUUAAGUGGUUCCACCAUAUUCACUAAAAUUUAUUUGAGAAGUGGAUACCAUCAGAUAAGAAUGAAAACAGGGGAUGAAUGGAAAAGUGCAUUUAAAACAAAAUUUGGGCUGUAUGAAUGGUUAGUUAUGCCUUUUGGUUUGACUAAUGCUCCUAGUACUUUCAUGAGAUUAAUGAACCAUGUCUUGAGAGCUUUCAUUGGAAAAUUUGUUGUUGUCUACUUCGAUGAUAUCUUAAUUUACAGUAAGUCUUUUGAGGAACAUGUGAAUCAUAUUCGGCAAGUCAUGGAAGAGCUUAGAAAUGAGAAAUUAUUUGCUAAUCUUGAGAAAUGCAGUUUUUGCACAGACCAUGUUGUGUUUCUUGGCUUUGUUGUUUUAGGAAAGGGCAUAGAUGUGGAUGAAAGCAAGGUGAAAGCCAUCAAGGGAUUGGCCAACUCCAAGAAAUGUAAGUCAAGUAAGAAGUUUUCAUGGCCUUGUAGGUUUUUAUAGGAGGUUUGUAAGAGAUUUCAGUACCAUCGCUGCUCCUUUGAAUGAAUUGACAAAGAAAGGUGUUGACUUUAAAUGGGAAAAAGCACAACAAAAUGCAUUUCAAGAAUUAAAGAAAUGUUUGACUGAAGCACCUAUACUUGUUCUUUCUAAUUUCACUAAAACUUUUGAAAUAGAAUGUGAUGCUAGUAGAAUUGGGAUAAGAGGAGUUUUAAAGCAACAAGGAAAACUUGUAGCAUAUUUUAGUGAAAAACUAGAAGGUGCUCAACUGAAUUAUUCUGUGUAUGAUAAAGAAUUAUAUGCUUUCGUGCGUGUGCUUGAAACAUGACAGCACUACUUAUGGCCAAAAGAAUUUGUUAUUCACUCUGAUCAUGAAGCUUUGAAAUACUUGAAAGGACAAGCAAAAUUGUUCCGUCAUCAUGCCAAAUGGGUUGAGUUCAUCGAAACAUUUUCAUACAUUGUGAAAUAUAAGAAAGUGAAUCGCACAUUGUCAAUGUUGUUGCGAACAAUGGUCAAAAGGAACCUGAAGGUUUGGGAGGAAUGUUUGCCAGAUGUGGAGUUUGCAUAUAACUGGGAAGUACACUCUACCACUAAUAUGUGUCCUUUUGAAAUUGUAUAUGGGUUCAAACCUAUUGCUCCAAUAGAUUUGUUGCCACUUCCAUUGCAGGAAAGAACCAAUAUGGAAGCCUCCAAGCGUGCUGCAUACAUCAAAAAGGUACACGAGAAGACCAAGGAAGCAAUUGAACUCAUGGUAGGACGCAUGGCUACAAGUAUGAAAAAACAUAGGAAGAAGGUGUUAUUUGAACCCGGGGACUUGGUGUGGAUACACUUGCGCAAGGAUCGCUUUCCUUAGCAACACAAAUCGAAAUUGCUGCCAUGAGGAGAUGGUCCAUUUCGUGUUCUUGAGAAGAUCAAUGACAAUGCAUACAAGAUUGAUCUUCUUGCAAGUUAUGGCGUGAGCAACUCCUUCAAUGUUGCUGAUCUCUCACCAUUCACAAGUGAAGACACUUUAGAGUCGAGGACGACUCCUUUUCAAGGGGGGGAGGAUGAUAUGACCACGUCACCAAGCAAGAUGUCACAAGCUCCAAGUCAAGCAACAUCCACUCAAGUUUCACCUACGCCGACACCAGCCCAUGUCGUCAAUUGACCGAUUACACGUAGUCGUGCAAAGAAGCUACAACAAGAGGUCCACGCGCUACUUUGUGAGAUUCAUUUUAACAUUAAUGAGAAUUAUACACUACCUAAGUGUUGUACCUUGAUUGUACUCAGGUAUAUACAAGAAGAGAAUGAUGAAUCGGACCCUGAAGAACGGACCAGUGCAAGUUCCAGAAGAAGUCAAAAACGGACUAGUGGAAGUCAAAAACAGACCAGUGCAAAGAAAUCUUCAUAAAUUUUAACUCACAAAAGCUAUGAAGGUCAAUGCACACUUGUUGGAAAACCUGACGAGUCUACUUUCCAAUGAAUCUAGUGGCGACCAGUUUGGAUACACCAUAUUGCCUGCAGACCAGAAUUAGUACAGACUGCUCAGAAGGUCAACAGUCUGUCGUGACAGAAUGUUAGUACAACUUGCCAUGUAAAACUGUACUAAUCUAAAUGUUUUGUACUGGUUGGCAUACAUUGCUAGAAAGCCCUUUGAGUCUAGUUUUACACCCAAGAAAUGGUUCAUCAUUUGGACUUCCGAAUAAAAAGUUAUGGUCAGUUUAUUGGAAAUUGCUCUGGAGGCCAACAGUCACGCGAAGCCACUUCGGGAAUCCAUUUUGAGGGGACCUUUCACAUUGCCUUCCCUCGAAAACUCUAUUUCAUUUUCAUACCUAUCUAGCAGGGCUGUUGCUAGUAUAAAUACCCCCUAAGACUCAUUGUAAUCUCAGACUUUUGAGAAUUUAAAUACAGAACCCCUUUUGUUUAGCUGUGUGCUAGCAAAUAUUCAAAGAGUGAUCUCUACCCCUUUGCUCUUGUGAUUUCCUCGUGGGAUUACAUAGGCGGCAGCUUCAUCCGCUCCCAAUUGGUGCUCCUACUCCCUUCAAGGUAUUCCUUGAUUGAUUAUAGGCUGUGUUGGUUGGUUCUUUGAGAGUGUGGUUGGGCGAAUCCUCGAUUCAGGUUGCCAGUUCAAGACGGUGGUUGGCUUCGAGUUUUAUUUGCCAGGUUGCACUAGUUAUCGCUGCUUGAAGCAAGUUAUUCGGCUGUUCUUCAGCUAGUUAUCGGUGUUCUUCCUACGUCGUGAAGAUCGGGACAACGUGUCGCAUCAGUUAAGGUUAGUAAAAUAGCGGCGUACCUUCUCAGAGGGGAAGUGCAUGUGGACUUCUCCGGUUCCAAUGU